UGUCUCUUUUCUCCAUGAAUUGAUGUCUUGUUGAUGGUUAAAAUAUGCAUUUAUUGAGGAUCUACAAGCUCCCGAAAGCUUACCAUUGCUCGCCCCUGAGCAAAGACUAAGUAUUAUUAUAAUAUACCUUAAUUAGAUGAUCAAUCUCUGAUUUACAUGUUGACAUCAUAAAAUGAAUGCCCCUCACCAUCACACCAUGGAACUCAUCACCUUCCCUGCAAUUACGAUUAGAACCCAUGCCUUUUUGCUUAAUCAAAUCAUAUGGAGUUUUUCAUGCAUUUUUAAAGAAAGCAUCUCUAGUUAUUUCUGUGGCACCAACAGUCUCUUUUGUGUAAGUGGAAAUAUAUCCUCACCAUAAAGGCUAUACAGGAUGCCUUUAAUCUUAACACUAAUUAUUGUGGAGUUUUACACUUAGGAAAGGAUGUGGUGCAUACAAUGCUAAGCAUAAUGUUGCAAAGUCAAGCAGUUGGAUCAAAGGAGCAACAAGUCAUAUAUAGAUCAAAUUCUGCAUGUGUGAUAACUAUGGUGGUUACUCUGUCAAGGCAUUUCUCCUCUUGAUUGUAUGGGUUUGACUAUCUCUCUCUUUUCUUUUCUUUUUCUUUUUUUGCUGAGACACAUGUCUCUUCUUUUUUUAGAUAGCCAUACCCUGAUUUGACACUUAAAACUAUGAGGAGUAAAUAUUUGCCAUAGAGUAGUAUAUGAUGGAAUGGGAAUGUUUGUGCGUACCUCUCAGUGUGAGAGUAGCAAUAUAUAGGUGGGUGUCCAUGAUUCUUGAUCUUAUUAGCAUGACGAGCUUCUCAACUAAGACUCAAACAAAAGCUUGAUUAAGCUCAAUACUAGCAUGCAGCAAGGUGGGAUUUCCUCUCUGCUAAAGUGCAUGGAAUAUUUGGCUUUGGUAUGUAUUUUAAUUGCCAUAGAAAUACUAAAGCCAGUUUUAUAGCAGUUUAAAAUAAAUGCUCCAUAGAUUGAUCUUGCUAAAGACUGGACUCUAAACUUGCUCAUUUCUUCACUAAUCAUUUUGUUCUUGUAUCCCAAGUUUAGUUCUGGCAAUUUAUCCCACAGAAAAUUAGGUUCAUGGCAGUAGAAAAAAAGACAUCAACAAGUUCAUCAUUAAUAAAUCACUAAUUUUAGGCAUGAUAACUUGUAUGUGAA
rnacentral:lncRNA from 1 species